rnacentral:tRNA from 1 species
GAGGGUAUAGCGGAGCGCGUGCCUAACAUGCACGAGGUCCUGGGUUCGAUCCCCAGUAGCUCCA